rnacentral:rRNA from 1 species
AUGGUGGUUAGUCCGGUGCCGCCGCUCCGCCAUGACUUCUUGGCCAUUGCAGAGGUGAACCGCUUUGUCCCUUUCCAUCAGAAAGCUCUGCUUCGCCACACCAUCGAAGGUUUGCUCCAUGAGUCCAACUUUUUCCCCACUGAAGUUGACGAUUAUCCACUAGGGAUUGGUAUCUUUGGUUUCGUGGAUUCGGUUGUGAGAGAUGUUGUAGUGGGCACGACAUUUGAGCUAGAUGAGGAUGAUGAUAACCAAGGCACCAUUGUUUCUUUUGUUCCUCACGAUGCUACUAUCAAUAUGCGCCAAACUAGCUUUGGGCCUCAAGUGUGGUUGCUUUAUAUUGGUUUUCCGCAUGAUUAUCAGACAUCUCAUUACAUUCAUAAGUCCGUGGACAAGUUUGGUGAGCUUAUAACUUGGAAUAAUCCUAGAGGAGACAGGAAGUUUGUUCUGAUCAAAGCUCGUGUUCUUAGUUUGUGUCGGGUCCCCAAAAGCUUCGUUAUGCAUCAGCUGGGUGGAGAGCGCCAUUGCUGGAUGGUCUGUGUCACAAUCUUGCGCAGCAGUGAUUGGAACGCACAUAUCCCGGAUGUGCCGCCAGCGGACAUGGAUCCACCUCCUGCUGAUGGAAUCCCCCACCCCCUGUUCGGACAAGGCCUCACUGCGGAGCAGAUGUACCAAGCACAGCUGCACAAUUGGCUUGCUCAGAAUGCUGCGCCAAACCAAGCUGACGCUGCUCCGCACCACAAUGAUGCGCAAGGACAUGAUGUUCACUUCCCUGCGGGUUGGGGGUGCAUGGCCACCGUCUCCACCGCCUGCGCUGUAUAA